CGGAGAGGGAGCCUGAGAAAUGGCUACCACAUCCAAGGAAGGCAGCAGGCGCGCAAAUUACCCAAUCCUGACACAGGGAGGUAGUGACAAAAAAUAUCGAUGCAGGACCGUAAGGUCGUUGCAAUUGGAAUGAGCACAAUUUAAACCACUUAGCGAGUAACGAUUGGAGGGCAAGUCUGGUGCCAGCAGCCGCGGUAAUUCCAGCUCCAAUAGCGUAUAUUAAAGUUGUUGCAGUUAAAAAGCUCGUAGUCGAAUUUCGGGCACUGCGGUGCGGUUUGGCCCCGGUCAAUACUGCGCAGGCAGGGUCUUUCUUUUGGGGAAGCGCGGUGCCCUUUGUUGGGUGCGGUGGGGAACCAAGACGAUUACCUUGAGAAAAAUAGAGUGUUCAAAGCAGGCGUUUGCUUGGAUACGUUAGCAUGGAAUAAUAAGAUAGGACGUUGGUUCUAUUUUGUUGGUUUCGGGACCGAUGUCAUGAUGAAUAGGGACAGUUGGGGGCAUUAGUAUUCCUAAGCUAGAGGUGAAAUUCUUGGAUUUUAGGAAGACUGACUACUGCGAAAGCAUUUGCCAAGGAUGUUUUCAUUGAUCAAGAACGAAAGUUAGGGGAUCGAAGACGAUCAGAUACCGUCGUAGUCUUAACCAUAAACGAUGCCGACUGAGGGUCGGUGCGCGUCCGAUUGAGGACCGCAUCGGAACUCUGAGAGAAAUCAAAGUUUUUGGGCCCUGGGAGAAGUAUAGUCGCAAGGCCGAAACUUAAAGGAAUUGACGGAAGGGUACACAAGAAGUGGAGCCUGCGGCUUAAUUCGACUCAACACGGGAAAACUCACCAGGUCCAGACUUUAUCAGGAUUGACAGAUUUGAUAGCUCUUUCAUGAUUUAAAGGGUGGUGGUGCAUGGCCGUUCUUAGUUGGUGGAGUGAUUUGUCUGCUUAAUUGCGAUAACGAACGAGACCAAAACCUGCUAAAUAGAAUUACAAGCAUUUGCUUGAGAGUUCUUCUUAGAGGGACCAUCUGUGACUAACAGAAGGAAGUUUGUCAAUAACAGGUCAUGAUGCCCUUAGAUGUUCUGGGCCGCACGCGCGCUACACUGACCAAGACAGAGAGUGAUCAUUGUAUGGCUUUUGCUGUGCAUGCCUUGGCCGAGAGGCCCGGGUAAACUUUAAUCUUGGUCGUGAUGGGGAUUGAGCAUUGCAAUUAUUGCUCAUGAACGGGGAAUUUCUAGUAAGUGCGAGUCAUCAGCUCGCGCUGAUUACGUCCCUACCCUUUGUACACACCGCCCGUCGAUACUACCGAUUGGAUGACUUGGUGAGGC
rnacentral:rRNA from 1 species